AAGAGUUUAGGAUAAAAAUUUAGACCCGGAGCCUUCAAAGCCCCUAGUGGGGGUGAAAAUCCCCCAACUCUUA
rnacentral:tRNA from 1 species